rnacentral:misc_RNA from 1 species
UUGCUGAUGAAUUUACCAAUCUUCCCAUUCUAGUAUGUUCAACUACUUUAGUUGAGGAGAUGGUAUAUCCAUUGAUCCACAACAGCAGGAGAACCAUACCAUGGUCUCAGCUCAUCAUCUGAACCAACUGGUGAGUGGUACACUCCUUCCAAGCUAAUGUUGAGUGCACCCUCAAGAUGGGCUGAUGCCUCUGGCACCACUCCAUCGCCCCAUACAUCUGCCUGUCCACAUACCUACACAAUUCAGAAUUUGAUUAUCAGCUUUACCGAGUCACAAGGCGGCUCCUCGCCUACAAAAACAAAUGGGAAAUCACUCUACAUACAAGAUGUAGUUCUCAGAUUUCAUUCUGUCAGCUUUAGCUAAAGGACUUAUUGAUGAGACACCAAUGCAAUGAUUACCUGCUUAUACCCUUGCCCAAUAAAACGGGCACGGAAGUUAAUUGCUAUAGACGCAGAAGUGCUGGUGUCAUUCAUAAGAACAGCCUCCGCAUUUGGUUGAUCACUGCCCAUGGCAACCACAGAAUUGACUUCAGCAUUUGAGUUCCCAACAAAGCGAGCCCCCUGAAUAUACCUGCAGUUUAUGGUGGCUAUAGAAAUUAUAAGCUUUAUAUUUUCAGGGUGUAAUGAUUUAUUGUGACGCAACUUUUACAGGAACUGACGUUUGAAUUGUUUGACAGAUGUUAACCCUGUUUUAUUAGUUCAUAAUCUUUUGCAAUCAGUAUAAUGUCUGUUACCUGUCAAAUUUUACAUCGACUGGCAUAAGCUAAAAACCUAGCUAAACCAUGCUGCAUACAGUUAUAUUUUUCUUUGUUCUGUGUCACCUAUGCAAGUAAGUUGUUCUAAAUUUCUAUUUCAGUUGUCAUUCCACAUAAUAUUAAUGUGUAACUGGUUAACUGUGAUUCCUUCAACCAAUGUAUUCCCACAAGACAAAAUAACUGGUAAUAUUAGUUGUGACAUAUCCAAUCUCAUGAACCAGCUAUAAAUCUCAAGUACUCCAUUGGAAAAAGGCCAAUCAAACAAACAGAAACGUACUUUAGCAUCUUAUUGUCUCAUAGUACGCAGCAAUGUGCAAUAACCUUUGGACACAAUAAGAUAUCCCCAUAUUAUAUUAUAAACUGGUAUCUUUUCAGCCAAGGUUCCAAAAAGUUUGGAAAGAAUAAUUUUAUAAGAGAAGUAGAGAACCAAUUCAAGAAGAAUUCAUGUGUAGUUAAGUCAAGAUAAAUAAGCAAUUCCAAAAGAUAUAGAACAGGUUUCUGAAUUUGGGUUUACCUCCCAGCAAUACAUACAUAUUUCAAAUGAGGAGUAUAAAUAGCUUUUGCACAAUGUUUUUCAACAUAAUCAAGGAGACCUCUAGUUUGAUCAAUAACCCCUGGAACUCCUUUUGGAGGUGGCCUGAAUAAAAUUAAACAGGUGGACUGGUCAUUAUCUCAUGAUAAAAUUGAAAUUGAGCUCACACAAGUAGUAUUAUUUAAGUUGUUAGCGUAUAUCUCAACAAAGCAGUAAAAAAUUUAACAAGAAAUAGAAGAUGUGUGAUUCAAGAAUUGUUAGAAAGAAUACGAAAUAUGAAAGUGAUGACCUACAAGUGGGGAGUACCGAGGGUCAACAGCAAGGAGACAUCAGACAACCCAAAUUCUUCCAUGUAGACACGUGCAAGCCAUCCUCCUGCCGAGUGACCAAUCAAGGAUAAAGUCCCACCUAAAAUAAGAUGUUUUGAAGCGUUUUAGAUAAAGCUUACAUUUGGCAUAAGGCAGUUUAAAGCAGAUACUUAUGUGUUUGAUAGAGAAUUAAAGCUGACCAUGAAAAAGGAUGGAAGGGUUAGGAGAGAAGUAAGCAAAAGAAAAUGAUCAAAUAUGAUUGUUCACUUGUGCAAAAGUUCAAGAAAGAAACACUAGGUUGCGUAAUGUUUUAUGAAGGUUCUUAAGAUCUUCUAAGUUCAUAAAACUUGGGCAAUUUCCACACACGGCAUGCCUAAUUAUACAGUUUGAUCGAGGCCGUUAUAGUUCAAGACAAGGAAGGUAUUAUUGCGAAUGUUAGCUUUUGAAGCUUUACGUUGUACAUUUGAACAAAAGCAAUAUGUUCACAGGAUAACUUUCUGUUCUCUCACAAGAAGGCCAAAAUAGAAGGAGCCGUAAAAGCAGCCCCAUAAGUUACAGGCAAAGCAAAAAUUGCAAGAAAUUACAUUUAACCUUGUCAACAUCUUAAAAACAAGCAAGCCAGUUGUGACUUCUUAUAGUAUAGAUGAGGUCGGAUUAAUCAACUAAGUAAAAUUAUAGCAAGUCAUAUACUUAAACAUAAGCAUCAAAUGAGAGCUAAAUCAGAAGUAAAACGCAAAGACAGACACCUUCCGCCAGCACCUUUGCCUCACGGACAGCCUCAUCAAUCCUCUUCAAAUACCUUGAAAUAACUUGCUCUCUUAGAUAUCAUAAACAACACAUAACCAAUAAAGGGUUUAGAAAAGCAAUUUACAUUGCCCAAAAAACUGAAGAGUAGCAAUUCAGUUACCAAUCAAGAACAGGCCGAGGCCGGAGAGUGCCACGCCAGUAGUUAGGAUCUACUAAACCGGCAGCAUUCCUAAACCAAUCAAAUCUUGACACUUUAGCAACAACUGAGGGUACCCCAUACUCAUUCAGUGUUACCUUCAACUUCUGAUAGUCCCCUGUGUUGUUCCCUAAACCCGGAAGAAUGACAGCAGGGCGGACGGUGGUCGAAAUGGGGUGGCCCGUAGGGGCAGAAGGGAAGGACGAGGAGGAGUAGCGGACAUUGAAAUGGUAUGGAGACAAGGCAAGAGCCAUACCCAUAAAACUCAACCUCAACUGUUGCUUUUGACAGUUGAGGUGGGUGAUGAUGCUGCAAGAAAGUGGCAAUCUUGCACAUGAUGUGCACACUCUCG